rnacentral:rRNA from 1 species
UACGUAGGGGGCAAGCGUUGUCCGGAUUUAUUGGGCGUAAAGAGCGUGUAGGCGGCUUUACAGGUCCGUUGUGAAAACUCGAGGCUCAACCUCGAGACGCCGGUGGAAACCGUAAAGCUAGAGUCCGGAAGAGGAGAGUGGAAUUCCUGGUGUAGCGGUGAAAUGCGCAGAUAUCAGGAAGAACACCCGUGGCGAAGGCGGCAUCCUGGACUGGUCCUGACACUCAGGAGCGAAAGCGUGGGGAGCGAUCCGG